GAAAGAAUAUCGGAGACGGAUGGGCAUGCGGCGCAUUAGCUAGUUGGCGGGGUAACGGCCCACCAAGGCGACGAUGCGUAGGGGUUCUGAGAGGAAGGUCCCCCACACUGGUACUGAGACACGGACCAGACUCCUACGGGAGGCAGCAGUGAGGAAUAUUGGUCAAUGGGCGAGAGCCUGAACCAGCCAAGUCGCGUGAGGGAGUACUGCCCUAUGGGUUGUAAACCUCUUUUGUCGGGGAGCAAAAGCCGGACGUGUCCGGCUGUGAGAGUACCCGAAGAAAAAGCAUCGGCUAACUCCGUGCCAGCAGCCGCGGUAAUACGGAGGAUGCGAGCGUUAUCCGGAUUUAUUGGGUUUAAAGGGUGCGCAGGCGGAUUUUUAAGUCAGCGGUCAAAUCGUGGGGCUCAACCCCAUCCAGCCGUUGAAACUGGGGAUCUAGAGUGUGCGAGAGGUAUGCGGAAUGCGUGGUGUAGCGGUGAAAUGCAUAGAUAUCACGCAGAACCCCGAUUGCGAAGGCAGCAUACCGGUGCACAACUGACGCUCAGGCACGAAAGCGUGGGUAUCGAACAGGAUUAGAUACCCUGGUAGUCCACGCAGUAAACGAUGAAUGCUACCUGU
rnacentral:rRNA from 1 species